CCUACGGGAGGCAGCAGUGGGGAAUAUUGCACAAUGGGGGAAACCCUGAUGCAGCCACGCAGCGUGAAUGAAGAAUGUUUUCCGAUUGUAAAGCUCUGUUAACAGAGGAGAGAAAGGACGGUACCUGCAGAUGAAGCCACGGCUAACUACGUGCCAGCAGCCGCGGUAAUACGUAGGUGGCAAGCGUUGUUCGGAAUAACUGGGCGUAAAGGGUGCGUAGGCGGUUAAACAAGUUAUAUGUUAAAUAUGGAGGCUUAACCUGUAGAAAGCAAAUAAAACUGUUUAACUAGAGUGCAGGAGAGGUAAGCGGAAUUCCUAGUGUAGCGGUGAAAUGCGUAGAGAUUAGGAAGAACACCAGUGGCGAAGGCGACUUACUGGACUGCAACUGACGUUGAGGCAUGAGAGCAUGGGGAGCAAACAGGAUUAGAUACCCGUGUAGUC
rnacentral:rRNA from 1 species